UCGAGGGGUAGUAUAGCAAUAUAUGAGACCGGCGCACGGGUGCGUAACGCGUAUGCAAUCUACCUUUUACAGGGGGAUAGCCCAGAGAAAUUUGGAUUAAUACCCCAUAGUAUAACGAUGUGGCAUCACAAUGUUAUUAAAGUUCCAACGGUAAAAGAUGAGCAUGCGUCCCAUUAGCUAGAUGGUAAGGUAACGGCUUACCAUGGCUACGAUGGGUAGGGGUCCUGAGAGGGAGAUCCCCCACACUGGUACUGAGACACGGACCAGACUCCUACGGGAGGCAGCAGUGAGGAAUAUUGGACAAUGGGCGCAAGCCUGAUCCAGCCAUGCCGCGUGCAGGAAGAAGCAUCUAUGGUGUGUAAACUGCUUUUGUACGGGAAGAAACACUCCUACGUGUAGGAGCUUGACGGUACCGUAAGAAUAAGGAUCGGCUAACUCCGUGCCAGCAGCCGCGGUAAUACAGAGGAUCCAAGCGUUAUCCGGAAUCAUUGGGUUUAAAGGGUCC
rnacentral:rRNA from 1 species